GUUGUAUCCCCUGUAGUGCAUUGGACUUCUAAUCCAAAGGUCGUGGGUUCGAAUCCCACCUGGGAUG